ACACGUAGAUAAUCUAUCCUAUACUGGGGGAUAGCCCGAUGAAAGUUGGAUUAAUACCGCAUAUAGCUAUAUAGUUGCAUGAUUAUGUAGUGAAAGAUUUAUUGGUAUAGGAGGAGUCUGCGGCACAUUAGCUAGUAGGUGAGGUAAAGGCUUACCUAGGCGACGAUGUGUAGCCGGUCUGAGAGGAUGAACGGCCACAAUGGAACUGAGACACGGUCCAUACUCCUACGGGAGGCAGCAGUGGGGAAUAUUGCACAAUGGGGGAAACCCUGAUGCAUCAACGCCGCGUGAGUGAAGAAGGUUUUCGGAUUGUAAAGCUCUGUUAGCAGGGAAGAGGAAGGACGGUACCUGCAGAGGAAGCCACGGCUAACUACGUGCCAGCAGCCGCGGUAAUACGUAGGUGGCAAGCGUUGUUCGGAAUAACUGGGCGUAAAGGAUGCGUAGGCGGUUAAACAAGUU
rnacentral:rRNA from 1 species